rnacentral:rRNA from 1 species
UACGUAGGGUGCGAGCGUUAAUCGGAAUUACUGGGCGUAAAGCGUGCGUAGGCGGUCCGCGAAGUCUGAUGUGAAAGCCCCGGGCUCAACCUGGGAACUGCAUUGGAAACUGUCUGGCUAGAGUCCGGAAGAGGAGAAUGGAAUUCCUGGUGUAGCGGUGAAAUGCGCAGAUAUCAGGAAGAACACCCGUGGCGAAGGCGGUUCUCUGGGACGGUACUGACGCUGAGACGCGAAAGCGUGGGGAGCGAACAGG